CCUCCUUUCUUGGCAUACUCGUUGUUUCCCCAUACACGUGUGUGUAUGUGAUGGAGGAAAAUGAAAAGUCCAGUGCUAUGUCUUCGGUGCCAGGGAGUCGACCAUCUUCUGGUUCUAUCCUCAAUCACUGGCACAACC